GACGAACGCUGGCGGCGCGCCUAACACAUGCAAGUCGAGCGAUUAAACUUCCCUUCGGGGAAGAUAUACAGCGGCGGACGGGUGAGUAAAGCAUAGAUAAUCUGCCCUAAAGUGGGGGACAACCAGCCGAAAGGGUGGCUAAUACCGCGUAAGCUGAUUCCAUUCAAGUGGAAUUAGUAAAGGCUUCGGCCGCUUUAGGAUGAGUCUAUGUCCGAUUAGCUAGUUGGUAGGGUAAAAGCUUACCAAGGCAACGAUCGGUAGCUGGUCUGAGAGGACGAGCAGCCACACUGGGACUGAGAUACGGCCCAG
rnacentral:rRNA from 1 species